UUGCAGAAUCUGAUUGCGUAGUGAAAGGAACUUUUGAGUGUGUCAGCUUGGAGUCACUACUGUACAUACAUUCACCACUAGGGUUGAAGAUGUGCUUAGCCCCGGCAGUGAGCUUUAGAGGACCUUCUAAUGGAUUUCCAGGUUUGCUUGCACUAAUUAUAGUUUUUGCUACAUCACCAGAUCUAUCAAGCACGGUUGUUUCUUUUCUUUCAAGUGCACCAAUUUCAGCAUCACCAACAAGCUUUGACACAGUCACACCACUACUCAUAUCUCCUGGCGUCGUUAACUUGACAGGCUUUGAUCCAGGCUUCUUUUUGGUUCGUUUACUCUGAGGGUCUUUAACACAAAGUCUUGCCUUGAUUCGCUCUUUAAACUUCAAUCUAUACUCACGUUUUUCAUUCAUUGUUGAAGUUGGGAGAAACCUUGGGCGGAUUGGAGGUCGAGCUAUAGAAGCCAAAUUAGGUCCAUUCUGCAAAGGAGACUGGAUAGUCAAGGGAUUGUGUAUAUACGGAACAUCUGUUGUGCAGCGAACAAAUUGGGAUUUUUGAAAGUUAUUACUGGAAAUGCAAUGGUGAUGAUGACUAUCAGUUGCAUUAGAAUAGAAUUGGAAUGAACCAAUCGUAGAUUCAUUAGCUUGUGCAGCAUUUAACAAAGACGAGGUAAUGCUCUUAGAAGAGCUCUGGCAAUUAUAUGGCUGAGCAUGCUCUCCUAAAUCAGUGUACAAAAAAGGAAACUUGAAGGCUGAGCUUGUAGAAUGAGGUUGAGGCAGCAUCCUAGAAUUUUCAGCAUAGUUUGAGCUCAAGCUUUGGUAAGCAUUUAAUCAAGAAGCACUCAUCAUUUUAAGCUCACGCCACAACACAUGUAUUACCUCAGGUAUCUAUGAACCAAGUGAUUGUAAUGUUUCUUAAUGAAAUGCAGAAUCAUAUUGAUCGAAAUUUAUAAUGUUUAAUUUGGCUGGGAUGAAUAAUUACCUGCUUAUUUAUUGUAAAAAUUGUUGAUUUAACUAAUUAAUAAUCGAUUUAAUAUUACAAAGUAUCGAACUGAUUCGAUAUUUUCAAUUCAAUUAAUCAAAAAAUAUUUUUUUAAACUAAUGUAAUUGAUUGAUAAGUUAAAUAUUAUUAUAUCAUAUUAUAUAUUUGAUUAAUGUUCCGAUUAAUCUUUGAUUAUACGAUUAAUCACUAAAAGACGACUACACCAAUUAGUUCUAUUUUCGCAUUUUAAUAUUUAUAAAUCUUUUGUUAAGACAAAUGAACUUUAGAUAUUCCAAUCUGAUAUUCUCUUGCCAAGUUUAGAUUCUCCUCUGACAAGACAAGUUCAAUCCUGAUUCAUAAUAUAUAUCUUUUAUUUGAAUUUCAUCCUAGAAAAUUAAUGCUCACACAUUAUUUCAAAAUCUUUACUUGUAAUUCUGUUAUUUCUUCUUCUCUUUUUCUCCGUUUUCAUCUUAAAAUUUUACGAUAACACAUUUUUUUCAAAUCUAUACUUGUAUUUUAACAAUUAUCGUCUAUUUUUACAUAUAUCAUUUUAUUCUUUCCAAUGAAACAUAAUAUUAAAACUUAAAACAGAAAAUGAACUUCAACUCAUGACACCAUUUUGAUUUACACUAUUGUAAUGUAAAAAUUACAUCAUUAAUAGGACCAACUUCAAUCCAUUUCCUUAUAUAUCACACCAAAAAAUCUUUUAUCCAUGACUACCUUUCCAAAAAAAAUUAUUUUGUUGUGACAAACAUAAUGUAAAUGACAUAUAUGAAAUAGAUUUAUUUUAUUUAACAAAUAUAAUGAUUUAGUAUUUGAAAAGCUCUAAAAUAGUGUAAGAAAUUAAAAAGUUAUACUACAAGAUCAUGUAUCAUAAAACACAGACAGGAGUGGCAAGAUUUCACAACCAAAUAACUUUAAUUUGUUUCAAAUAUAAUUUACUCAAUUUCUCUAGAGAUGAGCAACUAGGCGCAUGAGAAUUGCAGAAUUACUAGAGCAAAUGAGAGAAAAUCAAAUUAGGUGCUCCUUAAGCAAACCCUUUAGAAUAAGAUUUUACAUGAUACAAACAUUGGCUCAUGGUUAAGAUGAAAACAAAAUAAUUACUAAUCUUACAGGGAAUUACAAAGAUGAUAUCAAAGAUCUUGCAAAGCAACAAACGGCCUCCAUGAUAUUCACAUAUACAAUAGACUGCAGAGAUUUGUAGUCAUUAUAAAAAACAAGAAGAAGAGAUGAGGAAGCACUACUUGGCUGUUCGUACAGGAGCACUAUAUUUGAGCUGUUUAAUUUAACAAAAGAACUCCUGAUUUGAAGAUGACCUGGUAUGGUGGAACAGCGACAACACUUGAGCAAAUUUGGCAAUUCGGUAAAUUGCGAGAGCAUACCUGUUCCACUGAUGGUUAAGAAACAUGGACAGAUAACAAAUUAUCAACCUUUCAAUAAUUAAAGAAUUCUACAUUGUAUGAUAAACUUACAACUAAAACCGGUAGAUCUUGGAUGGAUGUGAUUCCAAAGGUAUUGCAGAAUCUGAUUGCGUAGUGAAAGGAACUUUUGAGUGUGUCAGCUUGGAGUCACUACUGUACAUACAUUCACCACUAGGGUUGAAGAUGUGCUUAGCCCCGGCAGUGAGCUUUAGAGGACCUUCUAAUGGAUUUCCAGGUUUGCUUGCACUAAUUAUAGUUUUUGCUACAUCACCAGAUCUAUCAAGCACGGUUGUUUCUUUUCUUUCAAGUGCACCAAUUUCAGCAUCACCAACAAGCUUUGACACAGUCACACCACUACUCAUAUCUCCUGGCGUCGUU
rnacentral:lncRNA from 1 species